rnacentral:rRNA from 1 species
AUUGAACGCUGGCGGCAUGCCUUACACAUGCAAGUCGAACGGCAGCGGACCUUCGGGUGCCGGCGAGUGGCGAACGGGUGAGUAAUAUAUCGGAACGUACCUUUCAGUGGGGGAUAACGUAGCGAAAGUUACGCUAAUACCGCAUAUUCUGUGAGCAGGAAAGCAGGGGAUCGCAAGACCUUGCGCUGAUUGAGCGGCCGAUAUCAGAUUAGCUAGUUGGUGAGGUAAAGGCUCACCAAGGCGACGAUCUGUAGCGGGUCUGAGAGGAUGAUCCGCCACACUGGAACUGAGACACGGUCCAGACUCCUACGGGAGGCAGCAGUGGGGAAUUUUGGACAAUGGGCGCAAGCCUGAUCCAGCCAUGCCGCGUGAGUGAAGAAGGCCUCGGUU